GGUCAUAGCUCAGUGGGAGAGCUUUAAUGCAGAAGUUCCCAGGUUCAAUCCCUGGCAUCUCCA
rnacentral:tRNA from 1 species